rnacentral:rRNA from 4 species
GAGAGCAGAGAAGGAAAAUAGAACAACUUUGAGCGGUGGAUCACUCGGCUCGUGCGUCGAUGAAGAGCGCAGCCAGCUGCGUGAAUUAAUGUGAAUUGCAGAACACAUUGAACAUCG